CAGCUUAAUAGUUUAAUCAAAAUAUUAUUUUUGGGGAGUAAAGAUCUUUUGUAAAGUUAGCUGG
rnacentral:tRNA from 1 species